GUAGGAGGCGAACGUUAUCCGGAUUUACUGGGCGUAAAGCGCGUGUAGGUGGUUUGGUAAGUAGGGCGUGAAAGCUCCUGGCUCAACUGGGAGAGGCCGUUCUAAACUGCCGAACUAGAGGAUGGUGGAGGGAGGUGGAAUUCCGGGUGUAGCGGUGGAAUGCGCAGAUAUCCGGAGGAACACCAGUGGCGAAAGCGGCCUCCUGGACCAUUCCUGACACUCAGACGCGAAAGCUAGGGUAGCAAACGGGAUUAGAGACCCCGGUAGUCCUAGCCCUAAACGAUGUAGACUAGGCGUCGGUGGUUUAAACGCCAUCGGUGUCCAAGCUAACGCGAUAAGUCUACCGCCUGGGGACUACGGCCGCAAGGUUAAAACUCAAAGGAAUUGACGGGUCCCCGCACAAGCAGCGGAGCGUGUGGUUUAAUUCGUUGCUACACGAAGAACCUUACCUGGGUUUGACAUAGCAGUGGUAGGGAAGCGAAAGCGGACCGACCCUUCGGGGAGCUGUUACAGGUGUUGCAUGGCUGUCGUCAGCUCGUGUCGUGAGAUGUUCGGUUAAGUCCGCUAACGAGCGCAACCCUCGCUGUGUGUUACAAGUGUCACACGGUACUGCCGGUAUUAAGUCGGAGGAAGGUGGGGAUGACGUCAAGUCAGCAUGACCUUUAUAUCCAGGGCUACACACACGCUACAAUGGUCAGUACAAUAGGUUGCCAAGCCGCGAGGCGGAGCCAAUCCUAAAAAGCUGGCCUCAGUUCAGAUUGCAGUCUGCAACUCGACUGCAUGAAGUUGGAGUUGCUAGUAACCGCAGGUCAGCUAUACUGCGGUGAAUACGUUCCCGGGGAUU
rnacentral:rRNA from 1 species